AUCUUGGAUUCAAGUGAUCCUCCUGCCUUGGCUUCCCAAAGUGCUGGGAUUACAGGCAUGAGCCACCAUGGCCAGCCAGAUACUUAUUUUGAAAGUAUGUCCUGUAGUUACAGAUCUUAAAAAAUAAAGCCUGAUGCUUUAUUCACAUAAGAAUAAAAGGCUGCCAAAUUUAUAUAAUAUCCUCCCAAACCAGUGUAUUUUAAAGAUAGUGAUGCAGUAUCUAUUGUUGAAGUUUUCAUCAAUUUCAGACUUUCCAUUUGAAAUGAAGUACUAUUAUACUAUUAAUAUCCUUCAAAUAUUCUAACUUGAUAUCUUGGCACCAUAGACAACUACAGUAGCUAGUUUAAUCAGUGUGUUGUUUAUAUUUGGCAAUGCAGUUUUGAGCAAUUCAAUACUAUAUAUAAUUUGCAGCAAUACUUAAUAUUUAAGACUUUCAUAUAGGGAUAUUAGCAAAUAUCAACUGAUCUAAAAUGUUUUAUAAGUCCAUGCUAAUUUCUAGAUUCAUGUUUUAGCCAUAUAAAUGCAGUAUUUAAUAAUAUUGUAUUUUCCAAAUUAUGGAAAGCUCCAGAAAUAGAAAUAUUCAAUAUAAUUACUACUCGCUAAUCUUUUUUCUAGGUUGAAAAAUCUUUGUUUUGCUUUAGGUUAGAUUAUGUUAAAACACAUCUGUGUUUCAGAUGUGUUCAGAGCUGAGGUCUCAGCUGAGGCUCCACUGAAGCAGGAUUCACUUCCAAAAUAAGAGUUGUUGCCAGUAUUCAGUUCCUAGCAAACUACUGGAACAAGAAUCUGUUUUCCUGCUGACUUAAUUUCUUGCCAUGUGGCCCUCUCCAAAUGCUGGACAUAAAAAAGUAGGCUGAGCACAAUGGCUCACACCUGUAAUCCCAGCAGUUUGGGAAGCCAAGGUAGGAGGAUCGCUUGAGGCCAGGAGUUCAAGACUAGCCUGGGCAAUAUAGGGAGACCCCAUCUCUACAAUAAAUAAAAAUAAAGGCUUUCAUUUACAAUGAUGGUAGACCAAGAAAUUUGUCCUAGAUCUUCACUGAGAAUAUCUAUAAAAGCUGGCAGCUGAACAAAAUUUUAAAAACAUCUGGGCUGGGUGUCCUGGCUCACACCUUUAAUCCCAGCACUUUGGGAGGCCAAGGCGAGGGGAUCACGUGAGCUCGGGAGUUUGAGAACAGCCUCAGCAACAUAGGGAGACCCCAUCUCUUAAAAAAAAAAAAAAGAUAAACUUAAAAUAAAUUAAUUAAAAACACCUGGUUGAAGACAUCAGCGAGCUGGCAACAAUGAAGAAUUCCUAAGGAAACAGAAACUUUGUUAGGGGAGCCGUUUUCCCUUGUGUUGGCCAGUUCUGUAAGUGGUAAGUGAUUGCUCAGAUGUUGAAGGCCAUUUUGAUAACCUCA